GACGAACGCUGGCGGCGUGCUUAACACAUGCAAGUCGAACGGAAAGGCCCUGCUUUUGUGGGGUGCUCGAGUGGCGAACGGGUGAGUAACACGUGAGUAACCUACCCUUGACUUUGGGAUAACUUCAGGAAACUGGGGCUAAUACCGGAUAGGAGCUCCUGCUGCAUGGUGGGGGUUGGAAAGUUUCGGCGGUUGGGGAUGGACUCGCGGCUUAUCAGCUUGUUGGUGGGGUAGUGGCUUACCAAGGCUUUGACGGGUAGCCGGCCUGAGAGGGUGACCGGCCACAUUGGGACUGAGAUACGGCCAGACUCCUACGGGAGGCAGCAGUGGGGAAUAUUGCACAAUGGGCGGAAGCCUGAUGCAGCAACGCCGCGUGCGGGAUGACGGCCUUCGGGUUGUAAACCGCUUUCGCCUGUGACGAAGCGUGAGUGACGGUAAUGGGUAAAGAAGCACCGGCUAACUACGUG
rnacentral:rRNA from 1 species